UAUCUCUGUAGAGUCUGCAUAUCAAUAAGCGGAGGAAAAGAAACUAACAAGGAUUCCCCUAGUAACGGCGAGUGAAGCGGGAAGAGCUCAAAUUUGAAAUCUUCAAGGUUCUACCUUGACGAAUUGUAGUUUAAAGAAGUGUUUUCGGUUAGAGGAGUAGUAAAAGUUCUUUGGAAUAGGACAUCAUAGAGGGUGAGAAUCCCGUAUUUGACUAUUCUUUCUAGCUUUGUGACACACUUUCAAAGAGUAGGAUUGUUUGGGAAUGCAGUCCAAAAUGGGUGGUAAAUUUCAUCUAAAGCUAAAUAUUGGCGAGAGACCGAUAGCGAACAAGUACCGUGAGGGAAAGAUGAAAAGAACUUUGAAAAGAGAGUUAAACAGUACGUGAAAUUGUCAAAAGGGAAGCGUUUGACACCAGUGUUGUUUUUCCGAAAAUCAAUUAAAAAUUGAUUCAUGCCAGGUUGUAUUGACCUUAUCAGCUUGCAAUUUGGUUUUGGGUCUCUUUUUGAUGCACUUUUCGGUUAACAAGUCAACAUCAAUUUCCUUUGCUGUAAAAAGGUAAGAGGAAGGUGGCUUCAAUUUCGGUUGAAGUGUUUAUAGCCUUUUAUCUCUGCAGUCGGGGAGAUUGAGGUCUGCAGCGUAGAUCCUUCGGGGCUAGAUACAUUUAUGCUAAGUUAUAGCUUUUCAUAGACAACUUGUUGACUAUGUUUAGUCAUGUAGCUUACUCGUAAGUGCUAUUUUACCUACGCUUAGGAUGUUGAGCGCAUGUCUCUCUCU
rnacentral:rRNA from 1 species